UGGGGAAUUUUGGACAAUGGGGGAAACCCUGAUCCAGCCAUCCCGCGUGUGCGAUGAAGGCCUUCGGGUUGUAAAGCACUUUUGGCAGGAAAGAAACGUCAUGGGUUAAUACCCCGUGAAACUGACGGUACCUGCAGAAUAAGCACCGGCUAACUACGUGCCAGCAGCCGCGGUAAUACGUAGGGUGCAAGCGUUAAUCGGAAUUACUGGGCGUAAAGCGUGCGCAGGCGGUUCGGAAAGAAAGAUGUGAAAUCCCAGAGCUCAACUUUGGAACUGCAUUUUUAACUACCGGGCCAGAGUGUGUCAGAGGGAGGUGGAAUUCCGCGUGUAGCAGUGAAAUGCGUAGAUAUGCGGAGGAACACCGAUGGCGAAGGCAGACUCCUGGGAUAACACUGACGCUCAUGCACGAAAGCGUGGGGAGCAAACAGG
rnacentral:rRNA from 1 species